rnacentral:rRNA from 1 species
GUCGAACGCCGUAGCAAUACGGAGUGGCAGACGGGUGAGUAACGCGUGGGAACGUGCCUUUCGGUUCGGAACAACUGAGGGAAACUUCAGCUAAAACCGGAUACGCCCUUCGGGGGAAAGUUUACGCCGAAAGAUCGGCCCGCGUUAGAUUAGCUAGUUGGUGGGGUAAUGGCCUACCAAGGCGACGAUCUAUAGCUGUUCUGAGAGGAAGAUCAGCCACACUGGGACUGAGACACGGCCCAGACUCCUACGGGAGGCAGCAGUGGGGAAUAUUGGACAAUGGGCGCAAGCCUGAUCCAGCUAUGCCGCGUGGAUGAAGAAGGCCUUCGGGUUGUAAAGUCCUUUCGUUGGUGAAGAUAAUGACGGUAACCAAAGAAGAAGCCCCGGCUAAUUUCGUGCCAGCA